GACGAACGCUGGCGGCAUGCCUAACACAUGCAAGUCGAGCGAGCAGAUCCCUUCGGGGUGAAGCUAGCGGCGGACGGGUGAGUAACACGUGGGCAACCUACCUCAUAGAGGGGAAUAGCCUUCCGAAAGGAAGAUUAAUACCGCAUAAGAUUGUAGCUUCGCAUGAAGCAGCAAUUAAAGGAGCAAUCCGCUAUGAGAUGGGCCCGCGGCGCAUUAGCUAGUUGGUGAGGUAACGGCACACCAAGGCGGCAAUGCGUAGCCGACCUGCGGGGGUGAUCGGCCACAUUGGGACUGAGACACGGCCCAGACUCCGACGGGAGGCAGCAGUGGGGAAUAUUGCACAAUGGGGGAAACCCUGAUGCAGCAAUGCCGCGUGAGUGAUGACGGCCUUCGGGUUGUAAAGCUCUGUCUUCGGGGACGAUAAUGACGGUACCCGAGGAGGAAGCCACGGCUAACUACGUGCCAGCCGCCGCCGUAA
rnacentral:rRNA from 1 species